rnacentral:rRNA from 1 species
GACGCUUCAUGCACGAAAGCGUGGGGAGCAAACCAGGAUUAGAUACCCUGGUAGUUCCACGCCCUAAACGAUGUCAACUAACCUGUUGGGGGUUUUGAAUCCUUGGUAGCGUAGCUAACGCGAGAAGUUGACCGCCUGGGGAGUACGGCCGCAAGGUUAAAACUCAAAGGAAUUGACGGGGACCCGCACAAGCGGUGGAUGAUGUGGAUUAAUUCGAUGCAACGCGAAAAACCUUACCUGGUCUUGACAUGUACAGAACUUUCCAGAGAUGGAUAGGUGCCCGAAAGGGAGCUGUAACACAGGUGCUGCAUGGCUGUUGUCAGCUCGUGUCGUGAGAUGUUGGGUUAAGUCCCGCAACGAGCGCAACCCUUCCCAUUAGUUGCUACCAUUUAGUUGAGCACUCUAAUGGGACUGCCGGUGACAAACCGGAGGAAGGUGGGGAUGACGUCAAGUCCUCAUGGCCCUUAUGACCAGGGCUUCACACGUCAUACAAUGGUCGGUACAGAGGGUAGCCAAGCCGCGAGGUGGAGCCAAUCUCAUAAAACCGAUCGUAGUCCGGAUCGCACUCUGCAACUCGAGUGCGUGAAGUCGGAAUCGCUAGUAAUCGCAGAUCAGCAUGCUGCGGUGAAUACGUUCCCGGGUCUUGUACACACCGCCCGUCACACCAUGGGAGUGAGUUUCACCAGAAGUGGGUAGGCUAACCGUAAGGAGGCCGCUUACCACGGUGG